AGAGUUUGAUCCUGGCUCAGUCUGAACGCUGGCGGCGUGGCUAAGACAUGCAAGUCGAACGGUGUAGCAAUACACAGUGGCGGACGGGUGAGUAAUAUAUCGCUAAUGUACCCCGAUGUCUGGGAUAGCUGCCCGAAAGGGCAGGUAAUACCAGAUGAGACCACGAAACCGCAUGGUUUUGUGCUCAAAGGGUCACCGCAUUGGGCGCAGGCGAUAUCGUAUCAGCUAGUUGGUGAGGUAACGGCUCACCAAGGCGACGACGCGUAGCCGGGCUGAGAGGUCGGCCGGCCACAUUGGGACUGAGACACUGCCCAGACUCCUACGGGGGGCUGCAGUAACGAAUCUUCCGCAAUGCACGAAAGUGUGACGGAGCGACGCCGCGUGCAGGAUGAAGUCCUUCGGGAUGUAAACUGCUGUCAGGGGAAAGAAAGUUCUGAUCUACCCCAGAGGAAGAGGCGGCUAACUCUGUGCCAGCAGCCGCGGUAAGACAGAGGCCUCGAGCGUUAGACGGAAUCACUGGGCUUAAAGCGUGUGUAGGCGGAAGGGUAAGUACCUUGUGAAAUCCCACGGCUCAACCGUGGAACUGCUUGGUAUACUGCUUUUCUUGAGCAAUCUAGGGGCGAGUGGAACAGAUGGUGGAGCGGUGAAAUGCGUAAAUAUCAUCUGGAACGCCAAUGGUGAAG
rnacentral:rRNA from 1 species